rnacentral:rRNA from 1 species
AGGCUUUGAUCCUGGCUCAGGAUGAACGCUGGCGGCGUGCUUAACACAUGCAAGUCGAACGAACCUUCGGGUUAGUGGCGGACGGGUGAGUAACGCGUGAGAAUCUGCCCUCAGGAGGGGGAUAACGGCUGGAAACGGCCGCUAAUACCCCAUAUGCCGAGAGGUGAAACGAAUUUCGCCUGAGGAUGAGCUCGCGUCUGAUUAGCUAGUUGGUGGGGUAAAGGCCUACCAAGGCGACGAUCAGUAGCUGGUCUGAGAGGAUGAUCAGCCACACUGGGACUGAGACACGGCCCAGACUCCUACGGGAGGCAGCAGUGGGGAAUUUUCCGCAAUGGGCGAAAGCCUGACGGAGCAACGCCGCGUGAGGGAUGAAGGCCUCUGGGCUGUAAACCUCUUUUCUCAAGGAAGAAGAUCUGACGGUACUUGAGGAAUAAGCCACGGGUAUAUCCGU